rnacentral:rRNA from 1 species
AUACGAAGGGGGCAAGCAUUGUUCGGAAUAACUGGGCGUAAAGCGCACGUAGGCGGAAUGUUAAGUUAGAGGUGAAAUCCCAGGGCUCAACCCUGGAACUGCCUUUAAUACUGGCAAUCUAGAGACCGAGAGAGGUGAGUGGAAUUCCGAGUGUAGAGGUGAAAUUCGUAGAUAUUCGGAGGAACACCAGUGGCGAAGGCGGCUCACUGGCUCGGUACUGACGCUGAGGUGCGAAAGCGUGGGGAGCAAACAGGAUUAGAAACCCUUGUAGUCC